ensembl:ncRNA lncRNA:CR44665 long non-coding RNA:CR44665
AUUUCAAAUGUCACAUAAACGUCAAACUUUUGCGCAUCUACGAUGCUGGUUUUUUUUUUCAUCCCAACAUACAUCGCUCUGUGUGUCAGUGGUUUUGCACCCCCAUCCGAUCCGACUGACCACCCAAAUUCCUUGCCCAACCAUGUGACCAUGCGACCAGUGGCCGCCACACACUAACAAGCUCCUGAACUACGGUUAUAGUUAGAUAAAUGGUUCGACCAGGAGCGAGUGUAGCCAUGAAUUUAGGCGAGCACCAAUCAAUAAUCACGUUUGCUCCGGGUUUCCGCUGCCAGCUUGCAACAUGGCAACAUGAAAAAUGACGAAUGCCCAUCGAAGGUGGCAGGCAACUCCCGCAGGAGCGGAUGGCGGAGUAGCCAAUGGCCAGAUGACUUUGAUUUACUUGCCCGCCAGCGACAGUUUGACACAAAUCACAUAGGAUGGGCUUUUUAAAAAAUCCAUCCCAUUGCGCGGAGGUGGCCGAGUUUUUUGUACGAAUUUAGGCCAGUUUAAAAUUUACAAGUUUAGUUGAAUAUAGGGCAAUAUCGAAUAGAAUGUAAUGGAUUUUUAAUUUAUUUCUAACCUUUAGAAUCUGUCAUAAAUUUCUAAUUAUAUAGACUCACUUUCUCAGUACUGAAUGGAAAAUAAAGAGAAUCUUGCAUAGGAGAGACUGCAAUAGAAUAUCCUUUUGUAGUUGGGGAAACUUUGCGAAAACCCUCGAUGGUCAGUGUUUGCAAUCACAACAAAGUGGACGCCUGGAUGCCACGAAGUCUACCUGUCGGGAAUAACAAAAAUCUGGGCAAACUUCCAUGCUGCGCCCGGAGUCAAUGUCGCAUGGCGCACUUAAUCGUUAUUAACGCCAACAUUUUGGGCACACGUGUGUGAAAAAAAUCAUCAUAAAUCUGGAUGUACACAUACAUAUACGUAUAUGAGUGUGCCUCGAAGGGCAGCCAAAAAUUGAAACUGAAGCGGCAGCGAAUGUGGGAAGUGAAGUGCGGGCAGCAUUGCAGAUGAGCGGAAUCACGUGCCGAAGAUUUUCCGUCGCACGUUGACAGAUUCCGGAGUUGCCAGGACUUGGAUCUUUUGUCUUCGCCGCGGGGACUGCUAAGCAGCAAUUGGCUUUCAUUAGAGAGCUACUAGAUGCUGACGGGAUUUGUCAGACAUUUGUCAAGUUCGGGACAUAUCAAACUUUUGGCAGCAUAUCAGAUUUCCCUGCUCCUGGCAACGAACUUUCCUUUGUCUGCAUUUCAACUGCUCGCCAUAGGAAAGUGAAAUUCGCGAUAAAUCUGCGGUCCACAUACGCACACGUGUGCAGGUGAAGUGCGGGGGUGUGGUUGCGCCCAAAUUGCCCUAGCAUGGUUCAGUUUUCGGUUACCGGACCAACCAAAGAACAGUGGUUCGAAAUCAGAUUGUUGUGACUCAAAAACUGAGGAAUAUCAUAUAAAUAAGUUAAG